AACCUAUACUAAAAGGUGAAUAUGAAGCGUUGUGAGACUAUCCACGUCAUCAAUUAAAAUCAGCCAAUAGGGUGUCUGAAAUUCGCCACAUCAGCAGCCCGCUAAUUUAUCUGGGCUUAAAGUUUAGCCGGCCCGGUUCUGAUUGGUUUCGUCGAGCCCGUUUAGCCCAAAUGCGGUAGAUACGGCUUCCAUGUUAUCCUCUCUUCCAGAACUCAACGUGGCCGUCUCGGCUUUUCAGAGUCUCAUCUCUUCGCCUCCCCUUUCGUUAUCUUUUCACCUUCCCUAUGGUUCAAUGUAUUUGUUUUAAUUCUACCCUAAUUGUUAAUCCCAUUGAAUCCAGAUUCCAUGUCGUCUUCUCCCUUUCAUUCAUCUCAAAUCUAUAAAUAUAAGCAGGUUGAGAGUAUGAUGGAUGCUCAGCACGAUUGUCAGUUUACCAUUUUAUUAAGCUGGAAAGAUUUUUAAAAAUGUCUUCCUCCGAUGCUGUUUUUUUGCACUCUGCGUUUGAGGCUCUCCGCCUCUGAAGAUCUGGCCAGUUCAUUGUUGCCAAAUUAAUCUGUUUUUGGGACUUGAAAAACAUCAAGAAACAUGGUUAAUUCAUGGAAAUCACUCUACUUCUCUUGAUGAUAAGAAUUUGGUGAUACAUGGAUUCAUCCUGCUGGUCGCGCCUCUUACUACCGUCCGUCUUUGCGAGGAGGUUCAGUCGUGAAGUUAAUUGGAGAGAGGAAGGAGCUGUCAUUCCAGUCAAAAAUCAGGGACACAUAUGUGGAAGUUGUUGGGCGCUCUCGGUGGUUGGAGCGGUGAACGGUAUAAACAAGAUCAAGACCGGAGAAUUGAUAUAUUUGUGGGAACAAGAGUUCAUAGACUACUACAGAGAGGACGGCAAUGGUGGAUGUGAUGGAGGGUUUAUGUACAGGUCCAUGUGAGGAUGGCUUUGGAAACCAUGAUGUGCUAGCCGUGUGGCAUGGAACAACAGACGGAGGUGAAGACUACUGGAUUAUUAUUUAUAACUCAUGGGGAUCAUAUUGGGGAGAAGGCGGAUACAUCAGGUCCUAACGUAACUAUCAUAAAUCAACCGGGUAAUGCGAAGUCGCAGCACGGUCUAUACCCAAUCAAGCCAAGCUCUCCAUUUGGUUUGGUGUCUACAGUUGGUUCUCCACGAGCAAGGAAUGAAGCUAAGUUGAGAUACAAAGAGAAGAAACUCAAGCACAUUACUGGGAAAAAGAUUCGAUAUGCAUUUCGCAGAGCGAGAGCUUACACGAGAAAAAUAGUGAGAGGAAGAUUUGUGAAAGCUGGUGACAAUUAUGACUAUGACCCAUCAUCACUAACCAUGAAAUCAAUGAGUUUUCUCUUCCCCUAAAACAAUUUUUAUUUUGAAUCGAGGAAAUCAACAUGUUGCGGCAUGGAAACGUUGGAGACCUGCACAAAGAAUGCUUAGAUGUAGUGAAAGUGACGAAUUGGGUGAAAAUAUAGCAAUUUUGCUUCUUUUUUCUAAAACAGAGCUCUUUCUUAUGUUAUUUACUUUUUUUUAAUAUUUCUAAUCAUUAUGUAAUAGGGAAAAUCCUAACUACUUUUAUUUGUAAACUUAGAAAAUAAUAACUCUAAAAUAAUUUAUGUUA